UGCCAGUGUGCUUGACCAGGUGCACACAUGGGGCUGGGCCUGGGUGUCAGUAAGCAUGUACCCCUGAGAGCCUGGGCCUGAGCAUGUGUGUAGGCAUGGCUGGAGUUAUUUCCAUGGGCCUGGCUGUCUGUGCUCAUGUCCCCUGGGGGGUUCAUGAAGGUACAUCUGUGUUUGUAUGGACUCACAAGUGCCCAGGAGCCUGGACUGUGAUGUCUGUGCACGCGUACCCCUGGGCAUCCAUAAAUGUGUGUGUACCCAGGUGCAUAUUGGUCCAUGGGCCCUGUAUAAAUGUGCAUGUGUGUGUGUGUGGAUGGAUGCAGGUGUGCCCACAGUCCUGGGCCUCACUAUCUGUGCAUGUACAACUCUGGGGGCCCAUGCACAUGUGUGUGCAUGGUUUCAUGUGUGGACAUGGGCCUGGGUAAGGGCAUGUGUAUACGUGUAUCCCUAGGGGCCCAUGCAUGGCAUGUGCUCAGGUGUUCAGAUGUGCCCAUGAGCUUGGAUCUUGGUGUCUGUGCACAUGUGUCCUUGGGGGCACACUUACGGCAUCUGUGUGGGGGAUGGGCAUGCUGCUUCCCUUCCACCUACACCUGGCUGGGGAUUGUAAGGGAAACCAAGAAGUGUGCUUUCUCUAGGAAUCCAGGUUUUGGCAGAGGCCGGGGAGUGGAAUUCAGGACCGUUUUGCUUUUCUCCAACCUUGUUACUUGGGACAAAGCUAGAGCUAGGAAAACGCCCCUUCCUUCAUUCAGCUGAGUUGAGCACAGUGGUGUGCUCUGGCACCCUGGAGACCAUGUGACCAAACUCCAGACUCCAGGAAAGAUGAGCAAUGCUUAUAAGCCUCCAUGAUACAAAGCAGAAGUGCCAGCAAGCUGCUCAGAUCAGGGAGCAGAGACUCAGGCCUCUCACUGCUGCGGCCUCUCCCGCUGCGGGGCACAGGCUCCGGACGCGCAGGCCCAGCGGCCACGGCUCACGGGUCCAGCCGCUCCGCGGCACGUGGGAUCCUCCCGGACCGGGGCACGAACCCGCGUCCCCUGGAUCGGCAGGCGGACGCGCAACCACUGCGCCACCAGGGAAGCCCAGGAAGGAGCUUCCUAAAGAGGGAGCAAUCCACUUCCAGCAAUUGGCCCUGAAGAUACACCUCCAACAAUGUGAAAAUACAUAUGCACAAGGUUAUUCACUGCAGCAUGAAUGAUAAUUGCAAAAUAUUGACAACAACGUCAGUUCCUAUACAUAGACAGUGGUCGAAUAAAACAGUGGUACAGUCACACAAGGGAGUCCUAUGCAGCUGUAAAAAGAUCGAGGAAGAAAGCUGUGGAUGGAUGAGGAGUGAUUUCCAGGACAUACUGUUAAGUGGAAAAAAGCCAAGUGCAUAAAAGGGUAUGCAACCCUUUGUGUAAUAAACAAGAUGAUAUAAGAAAACAUACGUAUAUUUGCUUACCUUUACAAAAAAGAAACAUGCGAAGGCUAAACCAGCACAUAUUGAGAUUGGUUGCCUAGAGGGCUGGGUGAGGGCCAGCUAGAAGAAAUGGGACAGAGAAGUGACACUUCUUGUUGUCACAACAACAUACUUGUUGAUAAAGUUCUGACUUUUGAAACCAUGUUAAUGUUUCACAUACUUAAAAAAAUAAAUGAAGUUAACAAGGAUGGGGUAAAAUCCUAAAAUGGAAUACAGACAGAAACAAAUGAACCUUAAUCAUAUUUCAAACACAGCUUCACUGAAGGCGACCAGGAAGAACUAACUCAAGUAACUUUUUUUUUAAUAUCUUGAACUGUCCUUUUCAAGGUUAAAGAACCCAGAACAUGCCAUCGUUUUCACAGACUGUACUAAAAAACAUUUCCCAGGUGGUUGAUGCUUUAGAAUGUAUAUGUGUAUUCUCCUUUGUUUCCGAUAGUAUCUGAAAGAAUCACUUAUUUUGUACUGGAUCCCAUUUAUACAGUUCGAGGGUAAAGUUGAUAUGAAAAAAUUAACUUACUAUAAAGGAAAACUGUCUGGGUGAAGUUCAUCCAGUGCUUCUGAAGAGCCCUUAAGACUGCAAAGGACUGAAGUGCCUAAUAAAAUGGUGUCUCUAUUCUUUGCUCCAGUUAGUUUUAAUUAUUGUGCUUUGUUUGAAAGUUAACAUUGCUGGAAUGAAAUUUGGCCUAAAAGGAAACAAGGAAGAAUCAGUUAAGAAGACACGGGUAUUAUUCUGACUGUAGAUGGUAGAAGCAGGCUUCCACGACCAUAAACUUGGGAAAUAUCUUUGGGAAUUACAAAAUGAGCAUUCAGUGGGACAUCAUAUUUUGAUCAUCUGGGCAGAAGAGUGGGAGUUUCUUCAGAGAGUUGUGGUCGUCUUAGUACCUUGUAGUGAAUUUGGUAUAAAGCUGGGAUCCUAGGCGCAGGCCUGGGGAUGUGAUGGUCCAUCUGUGUCAGCCCAGGGCUCUUAGUGGAGGCUUCGUCCUUUUCCAUGUUUGUUGUAUUACACGGGCAAGGAGUUGUGUUUUUUGUUUUUUAAUGUCGGUUCAUUGGUCUGUUUAUUUAUUUAUUUUUGGCUGUGUUGGGUCUUCAUUUCGGGGCGAGGGCUUUCUUUAGUUGCGGCGAGCGAGGGCCACUCUUCAUCGCGGUGCAUGGGCCUCUCACUAUCGCGGCCUCUCUUGUUGCGGAACACAGGCUCCAGACGCGCAGGCUCAGUAGUUGUGGCUCACGGGCCCAGUUGCUCCGCGGCAUGUGGGAUCUUCCCAGACUAGGGCUCGAACCCGUGUCCCCUGCAUCGGCAGGCAGAGUCUCAACCACUGUGCCACCAGGGAAGCCCAAGGAGUUGUUUUAACUAGUCUUCUUCCCUUUUCAGUAUAUUUCUAUUUGUAAAUUUUAUUCAGGGGUGAUUUCAUAUCACAGGUUUGGAAAUAUCCACUUUCACUCUGGUUUUCAGUGAUUUCGCUGUCCUUGCCCCAUUGCAUGUUCGAGGACUCAUCCCUGAACUGGCAGCACACCCUUUUCCUGUGUGUUUCAUCAUAACUGUGAUUAAGGGCUAGUCCUCAGCACUCAGACGUUUUACAUUCAAAUGCCAGUUUAGGAUUCCACAUUUUCAAGUAUACACUUGCAGUCAGCCAUGAGAAUGACGUCAGUUUUCCAUUCUACCCUGAGAGCUCAGCAGAAUUUGCCAUUUGGUCAUUUCCUGUAGCACAAGCCAUUGUGCCAAUCUGGGUGUGAAAAAGGCAUGUGCUCCAAAUCUUUUUCUUAGGACAAAGCCGCAGAGGCAUACCACCGACUAGAUUCUCCUGUUACAGCUCUUAAUCCAGCGAAUGCUGUGUCGGGCUCACCUUCCACGGGUCGGGUUGGAGCCCACCUGUGGCUUGUCGGUGGGACUGCAUUUAGAGCUGUUGCUGAAGGCUCAUUUCCAUGGACUGUAAGACAAAAAGAUAAGGAAAGAGGAACUUCCUGUAGAAAAGCCCCCCAAACAAAACAAACCUUAAUUGACUAAAUAAAGAUAAUGCAUGCUCAACUUAGGAUAAGCACUACGGCAAAGGAUACGAAAUCUACCAAGCUUGCAAGACCAGUUGAAGCUGACUCAGAAACCCUACCACACAGCUGAUUGCCAGCGGGCUUCUUGUUGCCCUGGUUAGAGUCAAGCAUCCGCUCCUUCGCUGGCGCCCAACACACGUGCUGGGCUCGCAGGUGAUUGAGAUGCACAGAGGAGGGCGCUAUAGGAUGGGCUAGCUGACCUGGCUCCUCUUCACGGGACUGGUAACUCAGACUUGAGCGUGGCCCUGGAUUUUGGCACAGAGCAGAGAAAGGAAUGAGUUGAACCUAAUCUUGCAAAGCGAGUUCGCUGUUUUAUCAAUAGUUUGUUGUAGAUUUCAGGGAUGACGGAUUCUGAUGCACUCGUUUUAUAACGUUUUGGUCACACCAGCUCUUGAUGCCUUUCCUUUAAAUGAAUUGUAGACAGAGGCAUUUAGCUUCUUUCUUAGCCUGUUUUUUUUUUGUUGUUUGUUUGUUUGUUGUUUUUUAUCACAAGCCGAUUGCCAGCAUAAUGGAGAGGAAACCAGAUUGGAUAUGGACUCUUUUAUGCCUCUUCCAGUGUCAUGCUUAUAUAUCCAAAUGGACAUUAUCCUCUCAGAUUAUUAUCUGGCACUAACUUAUAACUGUUAUAUUAUCGGAGACAGUAGCAAUAUAUCAGUGCCCGGGAUACAUCACAGGCCUGUAUAGAUGUAUGUCUACACCUAAGGGUAAAUGAAUUUACUUAUCAGGUUUUACACAUCAGUCUCUAAUAGAGAUUUUAAAAACCCAACGAAUUGGCCUGUAUCUGAGUAUACAAGUAUCAUUUCUCCAUGCAUUAUUAUAUGCCUUCCCUCUAAUUAAUGACUGAGUUGGUGGAAAAUGGCUGUUUUAUUCGUGUUUUGUUGUUGUUGUUGUUGUUCUCAACUUUAAAAGUAAUCUACCUCUUAAAAUUUGUAGUUUAGUACUUGUUUGGUGAAUUUGUGCUACUUUAACCCUUUCACUAUCAUUCCCAUUUUGUUACAUUUCUGUUAUGGGGACUUUAUGUUGAAAUAUUGU